GUUUCCUUUCUCUUGAAUGGAUACCACCCUGCCGUUGUCCCAAUAGAAUCAGAAGGGAGCCCCAGUGAAAAAUCUGUGCAGAUUACCAUUGAGGUUUUUUGUUCGAUUUUACAUCCUCAUUCAGCACCAGGCUGCAUUUUCAGAACCUUUUUUUCAAUACAUAUUGAAGCCACUCAUUUUUCUGUCUUUGCUCAGAACAUCCUGGAUGUGUAACGGGAUCAAAAAGAUCAUCAGUUGAAUUAUCUAAACAAAGCCUCCCUGCUUUAGGAACUCAAAAUGUUUCACAAGAAGAAGGGCCUCGCACUGCCAUACCCUGCGAGAUGCUCUGAGCUACUGAGUGCUUCCAUCAUCCAUCCAGCUGGGUCUCACCUUGCUGCAGAGAUGAAAAGGGGAAGGUGCAGAAAGGAGUCAGCGUCAGUUAAUUGCAGUAGUAACGAUUCAGAAUUGAGCUGAUGGGCUGCAGACGUUUGGAAAGCGAUCGGAGUGUUUCCAAAUGGCUGAUAGGAUUGGAAAUGCUAAGUCGUGGCCUGAAGCAGUGAUUGAGCACCUGGUGGGAAGACAGGGCCAAGCCAGGGGAGCUCAGGUGUAUGCAAUGCAAUGCAUCUAAGUGAUGAAGGGGUGGAGCCAGGAUCUAUCCCUUCCCAGACCUCAUUUAAGGGCUGGCAGUGGAGAUGAGGAGAUCUUGCUGGAGAUCCUGCCUGCCUGAGGUCUUUUGAAGGUACCGGCUGCAUGGAAGGCAGGUGCCUUUUAUCCAAAGACAAGGAGUGUUCUCCAUAGGAAAUGUUUAUGUACAUACAGCAACACCAAUUUCAGAAAAUAGAUUACCUCUGAGGAAACCAUCUGUUUCAGCAUCUCCUGAACUUUCAGUGGGAACUGAUCCUGGAUACACCCAGACUAGCAAUAUGGCAUACUUCAGCAACGCAGGAAAAUAAGCUUUCAGCAGCUGACCUGCAGAUGUGAUGAAGUCUCUGUCGCCUGGGAUCUUUAAAUCAAGACUUAACAUCUUCUGGAGGGUAUGCUACUGCACAGAGAGGACUUGCAGGCAUGCCUGCAGUGUAGAUAUUGCUGGAAGAGGUUCUGCAAUCUUGUUAACAAAUGCUGUAUAAAUAAAUUAGCACAGUCAUUGCUUUAAGCCUUAAAAAUCUAUUAAUACUCUCAAUACCCGGUUUUUGAAAUAAUCAUGCCAUCCCCUUACAAACCACAUGCCUGAAACUGUGGUCAGACUAUGGGUUAAUUACGCCUGCAAACAGGUCUGGAUUGUACAGCUGAGAAAUCCGAGGCAACAAAACCUUAAUUGGCUUUUCCAAGGGCAUCCAGCAAAUCACUGGGAACGCCAGGCACUGAGCCCAGGGGAGAGGUGCUUCCUCCACUCCCUGCAUCUCCCUCUUCCAACUGCUGAUAACAGCAGCAGUAUGGGCUGAAAUCGACUGCAGGGCAUGGAUUUGACUCAGCAUCAUCUGGUUCCGUGCCGAGGGAGGCAUUUCCCAGCCAUGGUCUCCCUGUUGAUGUGUCCAGCUCCCGACACAAGUAUGUCAUCACCCAUCCCUGAACUCCUGUGCUGAUGGGCAGCCUUUUAUUUGGACUCUCUUAAAAGCCACAUCCUGGACCCUUUAAUUUUAGCAGUUGAACAGACCUGCCAUCCCAUCCUGCCUCUUCUGACCAUCUGAUUCCUUGUAUUAAAGAUUGGUCGAUUCAUUUCUCAGACCCACUCAGUCAUCAGAGGUUAAGCACCCCUUGGUUUAUCUAUUAAAGGCAGGCAAUUAGUUCCCUCAUGCUGACUGUCAGUGAGAGUUGGGAGGGGACACAAUAACCUUGUCCAUGAAACUCCUACAAGAGUAGGAGCACGAUGGCUUCAUACAAACCCACAGCGGUCACCCACCUUGGAGAAAAAUGGAUUUCUUUCCAGCACACAAAUAGCUGAGUGAACAUCCCCAAGGGCCUUCCAAACCACUCUGAAAAAAAGAAUCUGGGGGAAAAAGCUGCAAGGUUGGCAAACGUUGCCGCAGCCACGGCUGGUGCCUGGGAAAGGACAGUGCUGGGAGCUCAGCUAAUGCACGUCGCCUCUGCCUCGCAAAGCCAGCAGAGGAGAAAAUGUCAGAGAAUUGGCCUGUCAAAAUGACGAAGCUGAAAAAGCAAGAGUGGUGCAGAAAUUCAAGCUGUCGACAAAACGCUUGAAGCAGCCUGCUGGGACCAGAGCCCAUGGGUGUGCUGAGAUGUGUGGGGAGAAACCACUGGCCUCAUUCCACAGCACUGCUCCUGGGCUGGUCACGACCAGCCCUUCCAUACAGCUAGGGGAGGUUAUUUUCUUUUGAUUUUUUUUUUAUUUUUUCCAUUUGGUUUUGGAGCGUUUCUGUGUGUGUGUGUUUAGCCUGUCUGUUUUUUGCAGUCUGGUUGUUAAAUUCUGGCUUUAAACUCUAGUUAAUUCACACAAUUGAUUCAUCUGCAGACCAUUCCUCAGCUCAUUGGCAUGCACCCACCUGAAGCACCCACUUUUAGUCCCUGGUGGUUUACUCUUCUUUUUUCAAACAGACUUGCCAUUAGCACCUGUUCAGUCAUCAUUUAACCAACAUAGGUAGCUCUACCACAUGCAUCACCAUAAAUCACAGCCUCCAGACUGGGAUAUUUUUCAUUCCCCUUCUGUGAGCUCCCCCCUGUUUAUCAAUAUCUUCCUGGGACUGGGUUUUAACCAUAUCCUAAGGCCCAUUGCAGUAGCCUAUGGGAAGACUUUGAAAUUAUAUUCCCAAUGGCUUGAAAAAACAAAACUUGAGGCUGUGGUGGCCCCUAUGUGGAUGGAAUCCCUCAGGAUUGUGAG